rnacentral:rRNA from 1 species
UACAGAGGGUGCGAGCGUUGUUCGGAAUCAUUGGGCGUAAAGCGCGCGUAGGCGGCCCGGUAAGUCCGUUGUGAAAGUCAAAGGCUCAACCUUUGAACGCCGAUGGAUACUGCCGGGCUAGAGUCCGGAAGAGGCGAGUGGAAUUCCUGGUGUAGCGGUGGAAUGCGCAGAUAUCAGGAGGAACACCAAUAGCGAAGGCAGCUCGCUGGGACGGUACUGACGCUGAGGCGCGAAAGCGUGGGGAGCGAACAGG